rnacentral:tRNA from 1 species
GCGGGUGUAGUUUAGUGGUAAAAACUACAGCCUUCCAAGCUGUUGUCGCCGGUUCGAUUCUCGUCACCCCGCU